rnacentral:rRNA from 1 species
UCUAAAUUAUUUUAUUUAUUUUUAUUUGUUAUUAAUUAAAUUUAUUAUUUUUUAGUAUAAAUUAGAAAUGAUUAUUAUUAAUUUACUGACAAGGUAACGUUAUAUUGUUUUAUUAAUAUUAAUAGUACCUUUUGUAUCAGGAUUAUUCUAUUAAUUAACUUAUUUUAUUUUCCCGAAUUAAGGUUAUUUAAAUUUAAAUUUUUUUUAUAAAUUUCAUAUUGUUAAUAAAUUUAAUUUUAGUAGUUAAAAGUUAAUCGUCCCUUAAAUAUAUCUGGUUUUAUAGGAAUUAAAUUUAAUUUAAGGUUAUUAAUUAGUCUUAAAUAAUAGGGGAUAAUCUCUAUUUUUUGUUAAAAUUUAUUUUAUUUUAUUUUUUUUACCAUUAAUAUCUUUGUAUUUAGUUCGUAAUAGAUUUUAAUUUGUUAGUUACUAUUUUAUUAUUAUUUAUCUUCUUACUGUAAUUAUUUAAUUAAUUUUUAUUUAUUUUUAUUAAUGAUUAAAUUAGUAUAAUUUCUAUAUAUUUAUUAUGAAUUCGACAAAUUUAAUUUUCAACUGUUUAUCAAAAACAUUUCUUUAAGAUUAUAAUUUAAAGUAGGUUCUGCCCUAUGAUUAAAUUUAAAUGGCUGCAGUAUUUUGACUGUACAAAGGUAGCAUAAUAAUUAGCUUCUUAAUUAGGGGCUUGUAUGAAUGAAUUAAUGAGAAAUUUAUUUUAUUAUUAUUAUUAUUAUAAUUUAACUUUUGAGUUAAAAUGCUCAACUAUAUAAUUGGGACGAUAAGACCCUAUAGAACUUUAAGUUUAUAUUUAUUUUUAAUAAUUUGGCUUUAAUAAUAUAAGUUUAUAUAAAUUUUUUGCUGGGGUGGCGAAUAAAUUAAAACUUUAUUUUUUUUUAUCAUAUAUAUAUGUUUAAUUGAUCCAUUAGUUGUGAUAAUAAGAUUAAGUUACCUUAGGGAUAACAGCGUAAUUUUAAUGGAAAGUUCAUAUUUAUAUUAAAGUUUGCGACCUCGAUGUUGAAUUAAGAUUAAAUUAAGGGGUAGGUUCUUUAACUUAAGGUCUGUUCGACCUUUAGAUUCUUACAUGAUUUGAGUUCAAACCGGUGUAAGCCAGGUUGGUUUCUAUCUUAUUAUUAUUUAAUCUUUUUAGUACGAAAGGACCAUUAGAUUCUAUUUUAUAGUACUAUGUCUUGAAUUUUAUU